GAUGAACGCUGGCGGCGUGCCUAACACAUGCAAGUCGAGCGAGAAGUAAAGAAAUGAAGCUUCGGUAGAUUUUCAUUAUGGAAAGCGGCGGACGGGUGAGUAACGCGUAGGCAACCUGCCCUGUACAGGGGGAUAGCCACCCGAAAAGGUGAUUAAUACCCCAUGAUGCAAGAGAUACACAUGUAUCACUUGUCAAAGAUUUAUCGGUAUGGGAUGGGCCUGCGUCUGAUUAGCUAGUUGGUAGGGUAACGGCUUACCAAGGCAACGAUCAGUAGCCGACCUGAGAGGGUGAUCGGCCACAUUGGAACUGAGACACGGUCCAAACUCCUACGGGAGGCAGCAGUGGGGAAUAUUGCACAAUGGGGGAAACCCUGAUGCAGCAACGCCGCGUGAAGGAAGAAGGCCUUCGGGUUGUAAACUUCUGUCCUAGGGGAAGAAACAAAUGACAUACCCUGGAGGAGCCCCGGUA
rnacentral:rRNA from 1 species